UGGCACCCAAUGUGGGGCUCGAGAACAAGGGAUUUUAUGAGGGACGCUGUUCGUGGGCCCAAAGGAAAAAGGAAAAUUAAAUAGAGGACCUGGCGAUGUGGGAGCCUGCCACGCCGCUGAACCUUGGUAAAUCAACAGCGAUUAUGGGACAAGAAAUUAACCAGCAUGAGAUUUUUGUUGAAAAUUUAGUAAAACUUUUAAAGGCACAAGGAGUAAAGGUGAGUAUUGAGCAAUUAUGCCAAUACUUUGAUUUUAUAAAAGAGGUUUGCCCUU
rfam:Cavia porcellus supercont2_32 genomic scaffold, whole genome shotgun sequence.